rnacentral:tRNA from 1 species
GCGGUCGUGGUGGAAUUGGCAGACACGCUAUCUUGAGGGGGUAGUGAUCUUCGAUCGUGCGAGUUCGAGUCUCGCCGACCGCA